UCCUGUAUACAAAGCAAAUUAAGUAGCCUCCAGUUUAGAGGAAAUUAGCACAAGGUUGCAUUCUAUAGCUCAAAUAUGGCAAAGGCAGCCGGGCAGAAUGUGUAACCGACUAUCAUAAUACAAAUAGUAUAUCCUUGAUAACAGAAACAAAAGCACGUUUGCGACCCACAGUAAAAGCAUUAAUAAUGAAUCGAACCCUCUAGAGGAAAUGUGAGAUUUCAUCCAAACAUGUCUAGUUCUGAAUACAAAAAACGCAUGCAUACUCAUCAUCCACUUCCUAAUGUGAAAACAAGUUUAUCCUUCCAACACAGGCUAUUAUCAUCAAGUAGCUCAUUCAACCUAGUUCAUCCUUCUAACAAGCUGGUUGAUGUAGUUCUCACGGUUCCCAGCGUCACCACCCUCGACGUAGUGGUUCCUCUUCUUCUUCAGGCCACCGAGCGGAGCCUUGAGCUUGAAUGGCCACAGGAAGUUGUUCGCCUCCUUAAAGUGUG
rnacentral:lncRNA from 1 species